rnacentral:lncRNA from 1 species
UAGGAGACAGGGAUCUCGCUAUGUUGCCCAGGCUAGUCUCGAACUCCUGGCCUCAAGUGAUCCUCUCACCUCAUUGUCCGGAGUAGCUGAGAUUAUAGUGGUGAACCACCAUGCCUGGCACCCCCUCAGCUUUAUUAAGGUCUGUUCGAGGCUAAAUUGUUUUCCUCAAAAUUGCAUAUGUUGAAGCUCUAACCCUCCCCAACCGUAGAAUGUGACUGUAUUGGAGAUGGGACCUUCGAAAAGUUGAUUAAGGCAGAAUAAGGCGUUAGACUGGGCCCUAAUCUAAUCUGACUGGUAUCCUUAUAAGAAGAGGACAUUGAGAUUCACGGAGACACCAAGAUUUGCACGUAGAGGAAAGACCCUGUGGGAACGCACCAAGAAGGCAGCCAUCUGCAACCCAAGGAGGGAGGCCCCAGGAAAAGGCCCCUGCCGCCAUCUUGAUCCAGGACUUCCGCCAUCUUGACCCAGGACUGCUACUCUCCCAAGCAGUGAGAAAAAUCCAUUUCUGUUGUUUAAGCCACUCAGCCUGUGGCAUUUUGUUAUGGCAGCUCCAGUAAGUGAAUACAGGGUUGUAUCUAGUUUUUAAUGUUAUGAACAAUGCUGCUAAAAACAUUUUAGUUUCUCUCCACAUGUACCUCAUACUUUCUUCUCCAUAUGCAAGAGUGGUACUGCUGGGUUGUCGAGUAUACAUAUUUUUCUCUAGUAAGAUAGUGCCUAAAAGUUUUCCACAGAAGUGUAAAAUUUUAACAUAACUCUACAAUGUUGCGAAUACUUAAUAUUGUCAGACUGAAUUGUUGCUGUUCUUGAUUUUUCUAAAUUGAAUUUUCUUUUUCUUCCUUACCUUGUUCAUGGGUUCAGAAGUUAUCUACCGUAUUUCUUUUAUUUUAGUGGUUACCUUUAGUAUUUUACCUUACAUCUUUUACAUUUUUUUUUUGAGAUGGAGUCUUGCUCUGUUGCCCAGGCUGGAGUGCAGUGGUGCGAUCUCGGCUCACUGCAAGCUCUGCCUCCUGGGUUCACGCCAUUCUCCUGCCUCAGCCUCCCCAGUAGCUAGGACUGCAGGCGCCAGCCACCACGCCCAGCAAUUUUUUCCUGUAUUUUUAGUAGAGAUGGGGUCUCACCGUGUUAGCCAGGAAGGUCUCAAUCUCCUGACCUUGUGAUCCGUCCGCCUUGGCCUCCCAACGUGCUGGGAUUACAGGCGUGAGCCACCGCGCCCGGCCAAAAUUUUUUUUUAAUAUUUGUGGGUACAUAGUAGGUGUAUGUAUUUAUGGGACACAUGAGAUGUUCUGAUACAGGCAUGCAAUGUGAAAUAAGCACAUCAUGGAGAAUGGAGUAUCCAUCCCCUCAAGCAUUUAUCCUUUGAGUUAUAAACAAUACAAUUAUACUCGUUAAGUUAUUUUUAAAUGUACAAUUAUUAUUGGCUAUAGUUAUCCUGUUGUGAUAUCAAAUAGUGAGUCUUAUUCAUUCUAAUUUUUUGUACCCAUUAACUAUGCCUUCCUCCCCACCAGCCCCCCAUUACCCUUCCCAGCCUUUGGCAACCAUCCUUCUACUCUCUACGUCCGUGAGUUCAAUUGUUUUGACUUUUAGAUCCCACAAAUAAGUGAGAACAGUGAUGUUUGUCUUUCUGUGCCUGGCUUAUUUCACUUAACAUAAUGAUCUCCAGGUUUACUGUACAUCUUUUAAUCUAAAGUUAAUCAGUGUCUUUCCCAGGAUCAUAUAAGAGGCUUAGAACAUUGUUGCAAUCACACUUUCCCAACUUACAUGGUACUGUUGUCUAGUGUUUUGUUUUAAUUAUGUUGUUUUAACUAUGUUGCCCAGGCUAGAUUCCAACUCCUGGGCUUAAGGAAUCCUCCUACCUCAGCCUCCCAAGUAGCUGGGCCUAUAGGUAUGCAUCACUGUACCUGGCUGUUUUUCUUUUUUUUAAAUUUAAAUACACACAUCUUUCUCUGUUGCCCAGGCUGGAGUGCAGUGGUGUGAUCACAGCUUACUACAGCCUUGCUUGAACUCUUGGACUCAAGUGAUCCUCCUGCCUCAUCUUCCCAAGUAGCUGAGACUACAGGCGUGCACCACCAUGAUGGGCUAAUUUUUCUGUUUUUCACGGUAACUGGGUUUUGCCAUGUUGCCCAGACUAGUCUCAAACUCCUGGGCUCAAGUAAUCCAGUGCCUUGGCCUCCCAAAGUGCUGGGAUUACAGACAUGAGCCAUCACGCCUGGGCUGUUUUCAUUUUUUUCUUAACUUAUGAAGCUAGACGCUAUUAUUCUAUAUAGGUAAUAUGUGCUUUAGAUAUACACAUGUUUAUCAUUUUGUUUCUUUGUUCAUUCAUUCCUUCUUAUAUUUCACACUUUGCUCCUUCAGCUGGUUUUUGUUUUUGAUUUUCUUUCAUUUCUGAACAUCUUUUAGAAGUACCAUUAGUGAAGGUUCACUGGAGAUAAAUUCUGUUUUUGCUUAUCUGAAAAUGCCUUUCAGUUUUAUUCUUGAAAUACAGUUUUUUGGAGGUCAUAAUUCGAGGGCCAUGGUGGUUUGCUGUCUGUAUUUUUUAUGUAUUAUUUGACAUUUCAGUUCUCUGACUUCCAUUUGUUGCUGUUAAGAAGACUGCUAACAGUCCGGUGAUCAUUCUGUAUAUGUAUAGGUGACAUUUUUUCUCACUGGGUGCUUUUUUUGAGAUGGAUCUUGCUCUGUCACCCAGGCUGGAGUGCAGUGGCAUGAUCUUGGCUCACUGCAACCUCCACCCUCCCUAGGUUCAAGCAAUUGUCCUGUCUUAGCCUCUCAAGUAGCUGGGAUUACAGGCACAUAUCACCACAUCUGGCUAAUUUUUUAUAUUUUUUGUAGAGACGGACGGGGUUUCACCAUGUUGGCCAGGCUGAUCUCAAACUCCUGACCUCAAGUGAUCCACCAGCUCAGCCCCCAAAGUGCUGGAAUUACAGGCAUGAGCCACUCUGCCCGGCUUUACUGGGUGCUUUAAUAGGAUGACCUGGUAUGUGAGUUUGCCUACGACAGCUGUUUUAAGUCUGUUUUCUUAGAACAUCUAUUAAGAAUGCCCUCAUUGACUCCAAAAAAAGUUCUAGUUUGGAGAAUAAAUAAUAUGGUUACCUCAGCAUUUAA